CACUCAUUCAAAGAGUGCGUAAUAGCUCACUGGUCGAGUGAUCCUGCGCCGAAGAUUUCCGGGGCUAAAACUUACUACCGAAGCUACGGCAUCAGUAAUGAUGGGUAGGGGAGCUUCCCAUACGGGUUGAAGCAUGACCGUAAGGACAUGUGGACAGUAUGGGAGUGAGAAUGUUGGCAUGAGUAGCGAGAUGUGGGUGAGAAUCCCACAGGCCGUAAACCCAAGGUUUCCAGGGGAAGGUUCGUCCACCCUGGGUUAGUCGGGACCUAAGCUGAGGCCGAAAGGCGUAGGUGAUGGACAACAGGUUGAUAUUCCUGUACUACCGAGAACCGUGUGAGAGAAGGGAUGACACAGUAGGAUAAGCUAAGCACACUGUUGGUUAUGUGGGCCCAAGCAUUGAGGCAGUCAAAGUAGGCAAAUACGCUUUGAUAAUGCUGGGAUGUGAUGGGGAGCGAACUUUAGUAGCGAAGUAGCUGAUUUCACACUGUCAAGAAAAGUCUCUAUCGAGGUUAAAGGUACCCGUACCGCAAACCGACACAGGAGGGUGAGGAGAGUAUCCUAAGGCCAGCGAGAGAACUGUUGUU
rnacentral:rRNA from 1 species